AUAUCAAGAAUAAUGAAUUGAUAUUUUUUAGGAAGAUGUUCAUGUUUUAGUAGUUUACUAGAAUAAGUGACCUAGUUUCCUGGUUUAUGAUUUUUUUUAAUUAAAACUCCUUGGUUUCUAAAGUAAUAAAAUAAAGCUUUUACAGUCU